AAGAGAGAGGGAGAGUGUUAAUGUGUGUAUGCGUGUCUGCUAUUUUUCUAUCCUCUGAUGUGCUUACCACCACAUUGACAGCUUGAUGGAGGAUGGACACCUUUCUCACUUUCAUCUCUUUCCCUCGCCUUUUGUCCUUCUCCCCCCUCUCUCUCUCUCUUUCCCUCUCCCUCUCCUCUCAUUGACCUUGUAAAGGGAUGAGCUCACCAAGGCAGCUCUGCUGACGUCAUCCCCAACCUGCGAUCGCUAGAUACCACCAACCCCCUGAUGCCUUCAGCUUCAAUAAUCACAUCACUCUCCUUAGAAUCCACCACUCACAGUGCUUCACUCCAGCUCCAUCGAAGAUGGGGGGCGGCUUUCUUCCGCAGCUAGCACAUAACGUUCUGAGAACCAUAUGUUUCUUCGAGCUUGGCGAGAGCCUAGAUUUCCUAUGGUUAUUUUUGCAUUCAACCUUCCCACAAUUAUCUGGGAAAUGGUGCACAGUACUUGCUUUGCUUUUGGAAAAUUCUCAGCACAUUUUUUAAAAUGUCUUUUUUCUUGGUUAUUUCAUUACUUUAACAGAAGGUUUCCUAAAAGUUCAAACAUGGUUACAUUUAAUUCAAGGAAUGUUUUCCUACUGGUUUGACGUUGAGAAUGUUCUCAAAAAGUUCAGAGAACGUUUAAAAAAAAAAAUUUAGUACUUCACAGUGAAACCAAGUUUCCUCUUGGUUCUAUUUAAAGUCAUGUAAUCAAAUUAUUCCAAGAAUGUUAAGAAAACGUUCCAUAAAAACCACAAGAAAUCUUAAGUAACAUUCAGAGAAUGUUCUAAGAAUGUUAUUUAAAAACAUACAUUCCAUUCCCAGCAUCAACAAAACUCUUUCUAUCCUCUAUUUUGUUGUGUGUUCAGGUGUUGGCUGCGCCCACUAAAUGGCCACACACUGAAAAAAUGAGGGGUUCAACAAGAGUUCUUCUAAGAUCUUCAAAGUUCUUCGAAGAACCUUAGGGUUCUUGGCAUUGAAAAUUCCCCCCCCCCAAAAGGUUAUUCCAAAAACCCCAUAGAAGGUGGAGUUCAUUGAAGGAACCUCCUUGGUUGGUGGGUGGUUCUUGCAGGAACCUAACUGCCCAACUGAAACAUUUCAAUUUGAAAGGACAUCAGGUGCAGGCCACUUUAACUGAAACACGUAAAGAUCUCCUCAAUUUAAGGUAAGGUUUGUCCCUCGUAUGAUCUAAAUUGAUAUUGUUGUAUGAUGAUACCAUCUAUCUUUUGCUAUUUGUCCCAAUCUUUCUAAAAACAGAAAAUGGACACAAUUCAAUGGAUAUCAAUCAACAACAAGGUAUACAGAUGAGGAGGCACGCAAAGACGUCACCCUCCCUACACCACUGCAAAAUCAUCCUGGCUAUGGAUAUGGAGAACAUUUAACAUCAACACGCCAGAGGAUAUAGCCAUUGGACUUGGGGCUCUGCUGGGAGUUUACCUCAUUUCGAUUUUAUAUCUUCUGUUUAGCCACUAAAAUCAUAAUAACCACUGAGAACUAAAAUAGUGACUUAUUGUUAUGCAUAUUAAUAGUAUUAUUAAUCGUAAUAAUAGGGGAGGGGGGUAAUUAACACAUUUAACCCAAAAGGUUCUUCAAAAGGUUCUUUUGAGGAUCCAUUAAAAUAG